GGCUCCGUAGUGAAGUUCAUGGUGGGUUGCAAGCUCAUUGAUGCGUAUUAGUAGUGCGCCGGGGUCU
rnacentral:tRNA from 1 species